rnacentral:rRNA from 1 species
CCUACGGGAGGCUGCAGUGAGGAAUAUUGGUCAAUGGGCGCGAGCCUGAACCAGCCAAGUAGCGUGAAGGAUGACGGCCCUACGGGUUGUAAACUUCUUUUAUAAAGGAAUAAAGGGAGGCACGUGUGCCGUUUUGAAAGUACGUGAUGAAUAAGGAUCGGCUAACUCCGUGCCAGCAGCCGCGGUAAUACGGAGGAUUCGAGCGUUAUGCGGAUUUCUUGGGUUUAAAGGGAGCGUAGAUGUGUUGUUCAGUCAGUUGUGAAAGUUUGCGGCUCAACCGUCAACUUGCCAUUGAUACUGACAGCCUUGAGUACAAUUGAGGUAGACGAAAUUCG